ensembl:lncRNA
AUCGAGGCCAUAGCCCUGCCCCUUGCCACGUGUGUGGUGCUGCACACUGCUCCCCAGGGCAGCCCUUCUUUUUUGGGCAUGGGGAAAAAUCUUCCAUGGGAGUGAGUAUAGCUAAAGCAACAGCUGUCUUCAGUAGCCCCUGAUCAAUUGUCAAGGUCAUCCUGAAUCUUUUCUCUGUGGGAUGCAAUGGGUUCGUAGCACCAGAGGGAAGACAAACUACUUUGAAAAUGGAGACUGAAGAGAAGAUCCAGAGGAGGGAAUGCAAAAAAUGCCUCCCCUUUGGAAAUCCCUAAGUCCAGUCCCAGAAGUGAGAACGGUGAGCUGUGACUGAGUGCUCAGAGCAUGGGAAGCCAUACAACUUGCAGGAGGUUUACAAAUUAAAUUGAAUACAAAUAUGAAAUGAACACCCUUGCAAUUUUAAGCAGCUGUGUAAGAAGCUAUAUAGGUCACCUGCAGACAUAGGCCGAAAAACAGAACAAAUGAGGCUUGUGCAAAUAUUCCUUACAUUUCUGGAUGUGUGCUUGUGUCUACAGCAACGCUAUGAGGCACACAGAAUGAAACUGAAACUGAGCAGACAAAACUGAUUUAUUCAAUGACAGUGCUACCAAACCUGCAUUCUUCAAAUAAAUUUACAACUGUGUUGCUUCUGUGGCUGAUAAGAGCAGAGUUGGAAUCCCACAAGGAAAGCACCGCUGUUUCUGGAGGGGAACAAAAGCAACACAAAGCCUCAGUUGGCUACAGUGGGGGUCUGCAUGUAAACAGCUUCCAGCUCCAGGAGAGAUGGUGCACGUCUGUGGCCAGAGUGCUGCAAACACCCAGCUUCCCCCAUUGCUGGACUUGUGCACAUCACACUCUUGGAUUAUAUUAGCACAUCAGUUAUUCUUACUGCUUUACAUUUGUAAAGACUCAGCAGCAGGGAGAGGCCUGUGCUUGGCAACAAACACAUGUGGGUCCCUCAGGGUUCUCUAGCAGCCCCCUGCCCUGGGUGCCCAUGCCUGGUAUUUCUGUGCUUGCUCCCAGCCAGAGCAGAGAUUCCUGCACCCCAUACGGGCACCCUGAGGGCUGCAGCCAUGUCUGCAUGGCACAUAUCUCCCAGUAUGCCAGCCUGUAGCACCAGGGUAUCCAUGGAGGUGAGGCUACAGCAACACUCU